AUGCACAUGGAUUUUUGGAUAAGUGUCAGAGAAUGCUCCGUACAACAGGUAUUCUAGAGACUAGUGGUGUCUCGUUAACUAUUUUUCAGUUCUUUGGAGCUGCCUUCAGUUGUGGAGGCUUAUAAGAGACGUAGGCUUGUCGGUACAGCACCAUUACCUAGUAGGAGUUCAUCGUUCUCUUCUUGGAGAAGUUCAUGUCGCAGUCUCGCAAAAAGGAGCUGUGUAGAUAGUUUGAGCAGUUAUGUCAGGAUGAUAUUUCCGUGACGCAGUACAAGAUGAGGUUUUCUAAGUUAGACUAUCAUGCAGUUUGGUUAGUUCCCACUGAUAGGGAAAGGAUCAGGAGGUUCAUUGAUAGACUCACAUUUCAGUUGCGGGUGCUUAUGACUAGAGAGAGGGUAUCCAGUGCUACUUUCAAUGAGGUUGUUGACAUUGCUCGACAGAUAGAGUUGGUCCGCAGCCAGGAGCGGGUUGAGAGGGAGGCCAAGAGGUCUCGUGGAUCAGGUGGUUUUAGUGGUGUUCCUUUUGGAGGUCAGUUAUACCAUGAUAGGGGUCGUCCUUACAGGCAUGCUCCGACGGCUCGCGCAGUUCGCCGUGGUGCAUCAUCUAGCCAUGGUUCUCACAGUUCUCAUCAGGGUCACUCAUCUCUCAGUGCCCUUCUAGCUUAGAGUUCGUUUCAUGCACCAUCAGCUCAGGGUUCAUCCAUGUCGGGGCGUUCUAGCAGUUAUCUCGAGGCUCCCUUCAGUCCCCAUCGCCAUUUGCAAGGAGAGGUUGCUUUGAGUGUGGAGAUAUGGGUCAUAUCAAGAGGCAUUGUCCCCGCCUCUUAUGAGGUUCAGCUCAGCAGAGGAGUCAGCCUACGACUUCAACACCAGUUACUUCACCACCCACCCAGCCAGUUCGGGGUGUAGCUCAGUCAGCUAGGGGCUGCCCUAAAGGAGGAGGCCAAUUAGGUGGCGGCCAGGCCCGAUUCUAUGCACUCCCUACCAGACCAGAUGCUAUUGCUUCAAACACCGUGAUCACAGGACGUUUGGAGACUGAUUUGAGAGGCAAAUGCAUUGUAGAGUAGAGUUUUGCCCGGAUUGAGAUCCAGGUGCUUCGGGUCACGGAGGUUGUUGAUCGAGGAAUUAGGAUUUGGAGACUAUCGAGGUAGCUACAUGGCGUUUGCAGGCCUUGACUCUCCUUCAUUAUCUCUAUCUGUACUUCAGUUUUUAUUCCUUAGACAUUGUUGUAUACUAUAUUCCGGUAUAGAUGCUUAUAUACUCUGUGACACCCCGGUUUUGGGAUAGAUUGUAUCGUAUUCCAGAUUAUUUCUGUUUCAA